rnacentral:rRNA from 1 species
UACGGGGGGUGCGAGCGUUGUCCGGAAUCACUGGGCGUAAAGGGCGCGUAGGUGGUUUGAUAAGGGUGUGGUGAAAGCCCGGGGCUCAACCCCGGGUCUGCCGUGCCGACUGUCAAACUCGAGGGCUGUAGAGGCAGACGGAAUUCCGGGUGUAGCGGUGGAAUGCGUAGAGAUCCGGAGGAAGACCGGUGGCGAAGGCGGCCUUCUGGACAGUGACUGACGCUGAGACGCGAAAGCGUGGGGAGCAAACAGG